rnacentral:miRNA from 1 species
CAUUGCACUGAAUAGUGGGGCA